rnacentral:rRNA from 1 species
AUUGAACGCUGGCGGCAUGCUUUACACAUGCAAGUCGAACGGUAACGGGGUGCUUGCACCGCUGACGAGUGGCGAACGGGUGAGUAAUGCGUCGGAACGUGCCGAGUAGUGGGGGAUAACGCAGCGAAAGUUGUGCUAAUACCGCAUACGUACUGAGGUAGAAAGUGGGGGACCUUCGGGCCUCACGCUAUUCGAGCGGCCGACGUCUGAUUAGCUAGUAGGUGAGGUAAAGGCUCACCUAGGCGACGAUCAGUAGCGGGUCUGAGAGGAUGAUCCGCCACACUGGGACUGAGACACGGCCCAGACUCCUACGGGAGGCAGCAGUGGGGAAUUUUGGACAAUGGGCGAAAGCCUGAUCCAGCCAUGCCGCGUGUCUGAAGAAGGCCUUCGGGUUGUAAAGGACUUUUGUCGGGGAGGAAAUCCCCAGCGCUAAUACCGCUGGGGGAUGACAGUACCUGAAGAAUAAGCACCGGCUAACUACGUGCCAGCCGCCGCCGUAACAC